GUUUGAUCCUGGCUCAGGAUGAACGCUAGCGGCAGGCCUAAUACAUGCAAGUCGAGGGGCAGCAAGCUGUAGCAAUACAGUGUUGGCGACCGGCAAACGGGUGCGGAACACGUACAUAACCUUCCUUUUACUGGGGCAUAACUUAGAGAAAUUUUUGCUAAUUCCCCAUAAUAUCUUUUAAGGGCAUCCUUGAAAGAUUAAAGUUUUUCGGUAAAAGAUGGAUGUGCGUCUGAUUAUGGUAGUUGGCGGAGUAAUAGCCCACCAAGCCUACGAUCAGUAACUGGUGUGAGAGCACGACCAGUCACACGGGCACUGAGACACGGGCCCGACUCCUACGGGAGGCAGCAGUAAGGAAUAUUAUGCAAUGGACGAAAGUCUGACAUAGCCAUGCCGCGUGCAGGAUGAAGGCGCUCUGCGUUGUAAACUGCUUUUAUCUGGGAAGAAAUCUCCGUUUCUACGGAAGUUGACGGUACCAGAGGAAUAAGCACCGGCUAACUCCGUGCCAGCAGCCGCGGUAAUACGGAGGGUGCAAGCGUUAUCCGGAUUUACUGGGUUUAAAGGGUGCGUAGGCGGGUAGGUAAGUCAGUGGUGAAAUCCCCGAGCUUAACUUGGGAACUGCCAUUGAUACUAUCUAUCUUGAAUAUCGUGGAGGUAAAUGGAAUAUGUCAUGUAGCGGUGAAAUGCUUAGAUAUGACAUGGAACACCAAUUGCGAAGGCAGUUUGCUACGCGAAUAUUGACGCUGAGGCACGAAAGCGUGGGGAUCAAACAGGAUUAGAGACCCUGGUAGUCCACGCCCUAAACUAUGAAUACUCGACGUUAGCGAUACACUGUUAGCGUCUAAGCGAAAGCAUUAAGUAUUCCACCUGGGAAGUACGACCGCAAGGUUGAAAC
rnacentral:rRNA from 1 species